rnacentral:rRNA from 1 species
UAAAACGUAGGAGGCGAGCGUUAUCCGGAGUUACUGGGCGUAAAGCGCGUGUAGGCGGGUUGCUAAGUUGGUUAUGAAAGCUCCUGGCUAAACUGGGAGAGGUUGACCAAGACUGGCAGUCUAGAGUGGAUGAGAGGUUGACGGAAUUCCGCGUGUAGUGGUGAAAUGCGUAGAGAUGCGGAGGAACACCGGUGGCGAAGGCGGUCAACUGGCAUCCAACUGACGCUCAGACGCGAAAGCAUGGGUAGCGAACGGGAUUAGAAACCCCGGUAGUCCAUGCCGUAAACGAUGCACACUAGCCGUUCGUCGUCGUUCAGGCGAUGAGUGGCGUAGCAAACGCGAUAAGUGUGCCGCCUGGGGAGUACGGUCGCAAGGCUA